CACCCCUGCUUGUGCGAGAAAAGCAAAAGAUCUUAUAAAACUCUUUUCUUUAUCCUCUUUCCAGAAAAAUGGGCCAAUUCACAGCUGCAAUUGUUGGGAGCAUUUCCUGUCUGGGAGUCUGGAAACUGCCAAGAGUGGAAAGCAGCAGCCAGCCAGCAGGGCCUCUGUUGUCAUUGGCCCAAACAACAACAAAAACAGCCACAACCACAACAACAACAACAACAAAACAUGCCACGUGUGCACAGGCGCACACAAACACGCCCACAGAACCAAACCAAACGGACAAGGCUUCAAGGAGGAGCUUCUGGGCUGCACAUUCCGGCGGCGAGGCAUAUCCCCUGGCACCGUGCCACGGCAGCCCAAUUCCCAGCGCACCCCCCCGCCAUCUGUCAUCAGCGCUCUGCCUACUACUGAUCAGUGUUCACAAAGAGACAUUACUACUCCUAGCUCCUAUGCUCUCUUCAGAAAGUAAAAGUCGGUUUGAAGGUCGUCUUACAAUAUCUUGGGGACCAGCCUGA
rnacentral:lncRNA from 1 species